UCCCAAGUGGACUAGUGGUUAUAGGAUUCGGCGCUCUCAUCACCGCGGCUCGGGUUCAGAUUCCCGGCGUGAGAA